UGCCGGGAUGGUGGAAUUAGGUAGACACGAAUCCCUCAAAAGGAUUUGUCCGAAAGGGCGUGCGGGUUCGAAUCCCGCUCCCGGUACCCA
rnacentral:tRNA from 1 species